rnacentral:rRNA from 1 species
UGCCAGCAGCCGCGGUAACACGGGGGGCGCAAGCGUUAUUCGGAAUUAUUGGGCGUAAAGGGCGCGCAGGCGGUCUUGUCCGUCAGGUGUGAAAGCCCAGAGCUCAACUCUGGAACUGCGCCUGAAACUAUUUGUCUAGAGUCCGAGAGAGGUUAGUGGAAUUCCCAGUGUAGAGGUGAAAUUCGUAGAUAUUGGGAAGAACACCAGUGGCGAAGGCGGCUAACCGGCUCGGUACUGACGCUGAGAUGCGAAAGCGUGGGGAGCAAACAGGAUUAGAUA